UCCAGACUCCUACGGGAGGCAGCAGUAGGGAAUUUUCGUCAAUGGGCUCAAGCCUGAACGAGCGAUGCCGCGUGAGUGAAGAAGGCCUUCGGGUCGUAAAGCUCUGUUGCGGGGGAAAAAAGGCAGCAUCAGGAAAUGGGUGCUGACUGAUGGUGCCCCGCCAGAAAGUCACGGCUAACUACGUGCCAGCAGCCGCGGUAAUACGGAGGAUGCGAGCGUUAUCCGGAUUUAUUGGGUUUAAAGGGUGCGCAGGCGGAUUUUUAAGUCAGCGGUCAAAUCGUGGGGCUCAACCCCAUCCAGCCGUUGAAACUGGGGAUCUAGAGUGUGCGAGAGGUAUGCGGAAUGCGUGGUGUAGCGGUGAAAUGCAUAGAUAUCACGCAGAACCCCGAUUGCGAAGGCAGCAUACCGGUGCACAACUGACGCUCAGGCACGAAAGCGUGGGUAUCGAACAGGAUUAGAUACCCGGGUA
rnacentral:rRNA from 1 species